rnacentral:rRNA from 1 species
GGCAUGGCGGUGAACAGAAUUUGCCUGGCGGCACUAGCGCGGUGGUCCCACCUGACCCCAUGCCGAACUCAGAAGUGAAACGCCGUAGCGCCGAUGGUAGUGUGGGGUCUCCCCAUGCGAGAGUAGGGAACUGCCAGGC